CAAGGCCAGAGCUUCCCGGCUUGCCUGCUGCAGUUUAGCAAGGCUGGGUUACAGGUAUGCAAAUACAUUACUGGUGGGUUAAGAUAGGGAUCCUCUUGGCCCUGGGGGCUGCUGGCCAGGGCCUGAGGCAGUUAGAGCAGCCACCUGCAAAAGGUCGGGCAGCUGUGCCUUGCCUUUGUUUUUGUUUUUUGUUUUUUUUAAAUGUUGUUACCUAAAGGGAAAUGCCCCACUUUUUAUCAUCUGAGCUGAUAAGAGUUCUUCUGGAGAGAUGACUGAAGAUAGCUCCCUCUGUUUGCCUAGGGGCCAGAAAUUCUAGUCAGCCAUGAGGCUCAUUGCCUACCCUUGGUGCAGAGGCCAGCUCCAGUCCAGGAGUUUCAUCCUUAGCCUCAAGACCCUCUCCCCCAACCCUUCAUUACUCCUUGCUCUGGACCACAGAAGGCCCCCAGGUCCUGCUUCUGCCUUGUCCAUUGUAACUGAGAUCAAAGCCUUCAAGCAGAUAACUGGAGCUCACCCUGCCUGCUGGAUACCUGCUUGCUGUUUCCCAAUACCUCAUAGUUAGACGACGCAUCUUACUAAAGUGAAACAUUCUGUAUCCCUUCAUGAGAACACUCUAGAAAAAUCUAACAAGAGAAGUUUUCCUCUUACUUUUAAAAAACAAGCCUGUCAUUUCUUAAUUUUCUCCCUGGUCCAUUUUCCACCGAUUGUCUUGCUCGGAGUAGCUCUAAGCACUCAAAUAAAGCUCACCAGUAGGGGUAGAUUUGUGAAAUU
rnacentral:lncRNA from 13 species